CCACUGUGAGGUAAGGACGAGCUAAAUACAGGUGGUGUUGGUAUUAUAGGAGUGGGAGGGACUCAAUAGAGAACCCUUGGAAGAUGUCUUAGAAUCUUCCCUUCUCCAAGGAAGAUACCAUAGUGGUGAUCCUGGGAGAAGAGGUCUUUACGGUCUUUUAGCUGUGAGGCCUGCUGUGUAAUCGAAUAAUGCAGCAUUUUUAAAUUCCCCUUUCAUAUCGAGAAUAUAAUACAUAAAACGAUUUUUAACUUUAAUGGGUAACUGUGUGGUGGCGUUCUGUCGCGUCUGCUGGCAACUCAUAUUUUCCAAUCCGACAGUCAUCAUUCGGUUGACUCCGAACGGUGCGUACGUGACAAAUGUCACCUUUGAACCGCCCUUGUGCAGAACCAGAUACCUAACCGAUCUUAACGUAUACAUCCAGGAUAUUGCCAAAAUACCGUAACCUACAAUUGAAAUGAAAAACGAGCGCUACCGUUUCGACACUCACCAAGUAGAAAUGAAAGGAAAGCGAUACCGUUCCUGUACUUAUUUUCGCCAAGGUUAAUUCGCUGAUACCAAGGCGCACCGGGCGAGCUUGUACUCGGUGCAUCUCGUAGCGAUGUGUAGGCAAACAGGGAUAGGUAGGUCCAAAAGCCGAACUGGCAUACUG